rnacentral:rRNA from 1 species
UGGGGAAUAUUGGACAAUGGGCGAAAGCCUGAUCCAGCCAUGCCGCGUGUGUGAAGAAGGUCUUCGGAUUGUAAAGCACUUUAAGUUGGGAGGAAGGGCAUUAACCUAAUACGUUAGUGUUUUGACGUUACCGACAGAAUAAGCACCGGCUAACUCUGUGCCAGCAGCCGCGGUAAUACAGAGGGUGCAAGCGUUAAUCGGAAUUACUGGGCGUAAAGCGCGCGUAGGUGGUUUGUUAAGUUGGAUGUGAAAUCCCCGGGCUCAACCUGGGAACUGGAUUCAAAACUGACUGACUAGAGUAUGGUAGAGGGUGGUGGAAUUUCCUGUGUAGCGGUGAAAUGCGUAGAUAUAGGGAGGAACACCAGUGGCGAAGGCGACCACCUGGACUAAUACUGACACUGAGGUGCGAAAGCGUGGGGAGCAAACA